AAUAGAUACCCAGGUAGUCCACGCCGUAAACGAUGAGUGCUAAGUGUUAGAGGGUUUCCGCCCUUUAGUGCUGCAGCUAACGCAUUAAGCACUCCGCCUGGGGAGUACGGUCGCAAGACUGAAACUCAAAGGAAUUGACGGGGGCCCGCACAAGCGGUGGAGCAUGUGGUUUAAUUCGAAGCAACGCGAAGAACCUUACCAGGUCUUGACAUCCUCUGACAACUCUAGAGAUAGAGCGUUCCCCUUCGGGGGACAGAGUGACAGGUGGUGCAUGGUUGUCGUCAGCUCGUGUCGUGAGAUGUUGGGUUAAGUCCCGCAACGAGCGCAACCCUUGAUCUUAGUUGCCAGCAUUUAGUUGGGCACUCUAAGGUGACUGCCGGUGACAAACCGGAGGAAGGUGGGGAUGACGUCAAAUCAUCAUGCCCCUUAUGACCUGGGCUACACACGUGCUACAAUGGAUGGUACAAAGGGCUGCAAGACCGCGAGGUCAAGCCAAUCCCAUAAAACCAAUUCUCAGUUCGGAUUGU
rnacentral:rRNA from 1 species